GACGAACGCUGGCGGCGUGCUUAACACAUGCAAGUCGAACGAUGAAAGAGAAUCCGAUCUCUUCGGAGUGAAGAAUCUCUGGAUUAGUGGCGGACGGGUGAGUAACGCGUGAGCAAUCUGCCUUACACAAAGGGAUAGCCUCGGGAAACCGGGAUUAAUACCAUAUGAUAUCUAUUAACCGCAUGGUUUAUAGAUUAAAGAAUUUCGGUGUAAGAUGAGCUCGCGUCCCAUUAAUUAGUUGGUGAGGGUAACGGCCCACCAAGAUAGCGAUGGGUAGCCGAUCUAAGAGGAUGACCGGCCACAUUGGAACUGAGAAACGGUCCAAACUCCUACGGGAGGCAGCAGUGGGGAAUAUUGCACAAUGGGGGAAACCCUGAUGCAGCGACGCCGCGUGAGCGAUGAAGGCUUUCGAGUCGUAAAGCUCUGUCCUAUGGGAAGAUAAUGACGGUACCAUAGAAGAAAGCCCCAGCUAAUUACGUGCCAGCCGCCGCGGUAA
rnacentral:rRNA from 2 species